CGCUCAGUCUUUCGGGCGCACACCUCGCCAUCCUCCCCCGCCCCUUUGCUUUUUCCUCUGUCUUUUUAAUUCUCAAUCUGCUUAACCAGGCUUUAAAGGCCAAGCAAAUCUGAGAUCAAUUUUCUCGUUUAGCUCUAAGUGACAUCAUCUAAAAUCAUUGUGCAAGGGCUAAAUAAGGAAACAGAGUCUAAUUCAGGGGCAAACGCCAGGCUAUAUUUAUGAAACGCCAGGCUCCAGAAAGCCACGGCCAGGAAGCCGACCUCAGCGAAAUCCGAGCUUUCCCUGCACGGUUCCGCCGGGCAGAAACUGGGCCCGGGUCAGAGCAGCGCCGCCUCCUCCGCAGCCCUCUUUCUAGGGCUCCUCUGGGGCGCGGGGCUCGGGACUACCGCAUCCCAGGGUCUCUGGCCCGAACCGAGUCUGGACCACUUGGAAGACGCCAGCAGGCCUGUGAGGUGUGUUCCCUACAGACUCGACUCAGGGCUGGAAUUGAUGGAAAAAGAAGUUUAUAAACAAGCAACCCAAUUUCUCAACUUAUUCGAGAAGCUGCCUAGAAGUGAAGCUACAAAAGCCAGACGAGUUUGGCUUGCAAUUUCCAACGGUGUUGUUGAAACCUGGGACGUGAUCAGUUAGAAGAGGACGCCCCAAAUAUGCGCUCUCGUUCUACACCGAGAGCUGGUUGUGCAAUUGGCUGAUUAGCGUUUUUGCGCCAGUCCCCAGAUAAUUUUUUGUGGGCAAAAUAAAAACUACAUUCAACACAGCGCGAUUCUUUCCUUGAUAACUACCCAAGAGGGUUAGAGCAGUUUGGGGGGGGGGUUGUUGUUAUUUUCAAACGUUCUUCCUUAUUUCCCGCGAAAUAAAUGUCUAUAAUAGAUAUUCAAAUAAUACAGAGCAGAGCGUGAGGUUAGAGCAAUGGAGAAGCAGAAGAAGUAAAUCAAAAUCCUUGAGCUAGAAAUCUCUGAGAACCGUUUAACAAUGUAGUUACCUCCCGGCCCCCGGUCGUCGGCGGCUCCCGGCGGGGAGCGCCCCGCGCGGACCAGCUGCCCUCGGCCGCGGGGGC
rnacentral:lncRNA from 1 species